GAGGCGGUGCCACAGGCCCCUGUAGCCUCCCUGGAGGGCCUCGCACCGGAGCCAAGGUCGUGCUUCCAGCGGGUUCUCCCCUAAGGAUGCAGCCACCUUGGGCCAGUGUGGGGUCGAGGCCUGACGACCCGGAAGUAGUUGGCCGCAUGCUAGGAGGCUCCAGCAGUGGCACCUCAUCCUCCCACCAACCUGGCUGCAAACCCCGCAUUCCCACUGACCUUCAGAGGAGCCGGGAGACAUGUUAACAACACAGCAUCAUCCAGGAAAAUAGAGGCUGUGCUGAGACAGAGGAAUCCUUAACUUUUAUCCCCUGGGGUAGAACAAGAAAUAACGUCAAGAAUUACUUCUGGACUCUUCCCAGCCCAACAGGCCCUAGCGUGUGUCAGUGUUUCAGCCAGUGAGGCAGUGAACUGUUGAUCCUGACAUUGGAUCUGGCUGCUCUGCAGAGGAGGAGCUCAACGUUUUGUGGUCAUUGUUCCAGAGAUCAGCUCUGGAAGGAACUACUUUUGCUCCCUCACAAAAGCUGCGGAGGGUUAUUGAAUGCCAACAGCGUGAGUUGUCCUUCGCCCAUAAAUACGCCUCUCCCGGCUCUGCGGCAGGCAUUCAGGCAGCGAGCGCAGAGAUGACUGCUGAGACCGAGGCACUACUUGAGGAAACCAGAUAAGUUUUUCUAUUAAAAAGAGAUAGAAAAUAAUAUUGUUUAGGAAAUGUAAAUAGCGAAGGAAGGUACUUACUGAGAUACUGCUUAGCAUUAAUAUUUUAACUUUUCUAACAAAGAUCUUAUUUAAGGGAAAAUAUGAUGAAGACUUACUUAAAAAGUAGUUUCAGAAAGGAAGAGAGAAGAAAAUACUUCCAGAACAUGACGGAGAUUAAGAGAUGAAACUUCUUUACGAAGUAAAAUAAUUUUCAAAGAAAUGGCUGAUAGGACGGCAAAGUCUGAACUCAAAAACGCCUUAACUAAAUUGAAGGGCAAACUUUAAAAAUACCAUUAAACCGUAGGUGACAUAACUAGAACAUAAUUGUCAAUUAAAGAAAGUUGGAGGUGGUUAAACUAUAUAUUAAAUGCCGUAUUUAAAAGAGAAAAUUGAUUUAAGAGAGGCCUUCAAAUUCAUGGCGCAGGAAAGAUUGUGUCAUUUGAAGCCCAAUUGCUCUUACGGCAUUAUUAGCCCAAGAUGGGCAAUUGUUAAUUUAGAAAUCGUAGGAUAAAAUUUUGGAGAAAGAUUAGAAAUUUAAAGUGGAAAACUUGGAAGACAGAAGUGUACAGGAAGGUGAAGAAAAAGACUUAGAGAAGACAGGAAAAUAGAAGAUACAACAUGCAUUUUAGAAGACAGAAAAACUAAGUCCAAAAGGUAGAAAGCAGAAGAGAAAGUAUUUAGGCAAAUUAACCAAAGCAACUAAGGGCACAGAUACAAAUGUAGUAGAAAACCAGAAGAUAGAAAAUGAGAAGAUACAGAUUUAAUAGAAAAGUAGAAAAUGAAGAUACAGAUUUAAGUAGAAAACUAGAAGAUAGAAAAUGAGAAGAUACAAACUAAGUAGAAAAAUAGAAGAUAGAAAAUGAGAAGAUACAGACUAAGUAGAAAAGUAGAAGAUAGAAAAUGAGAAGAUACAAGUUUAGUAGAAAAGUAGAAGAUAGAAAACGAGAAGAUACAAGUUUAGUAGAAGAUAGAAGGUUGUCAAGAAAAGUAUUUCAGCUAGAAGAUAGUACAGGAACAAAAGGAGGAAAUUAAAUUUUUAAUAAUUUGUAAUUUAAUAAUUUACUAUAAAAGCCCAUAAGUUUAAUUUCUGGUGGUGCAGAAGUUAGCUUUGAGAAGACGAGGAUGUUUAAAUUGCUGUAGAACAGGCCUAAUUUAGAAAAAUAUCCGGAAGAAGCUAGAAGGGAAAUCGGCUAAAAAAAAUA